rnacentral:misc_RNA from 1 species
UCCGGUUUGUCACCGGCAGUCUCAUUAAAGUGCCCAACCAAAUGAUGGCAAUUAAUGACAAGGGUUGCGCUCGUUGCGGGACUUAACCCAACAUCUCACGACACGAGCUGACGACAGCCAUGCAGCACCUGUGUUCCGGCUCCCUUUCGGGCACACCCAACUCUCAUCGGGCUUCCGGACAUGUCAAGGGUAGGUAAGGUUUUUCGCGUUGCAUCGAAUUAAUCCACAGAAUCCACCGCUUGUGCGGGUCCCCGUCAAUUCCUUUGAGUUUUAACCUUGCGGCCGUACUCCCCAGGCGGUCAACUUCACGCGUUAGCUUCGUUACUAAGGAAGUUUCCUUCCCCAACAACCAGUUGACAUCGUUUAGGGCGUGGACUAC